GAUGAACGCUGGCGGCGUGCCUAAUACAUGCAAGUCGAGCGAACAGACGAGGAGCUUGCUCCUCUGACGUUAGCGGCGGACGGGUGAGUAACACGUGGAUAACCUACCUAUAAGACUGGGAUAACUUCGGGAAACCGGAGCUAAUACCGGAUAAUAUAUUGAACCGCAUGGUUCAAUAGUGAAAGACGGUUUUGCUGUCACUUAUAGAUGGAUCCGCGCCGCAUUAGCUAGUUGGUAAGGUAACGGCUUACCAAGGCAACGAUGCGUAGCCGACCUGAGAGGGUGAUCGGCCACACUGGAACUGAGACACGGUCCAGACUCCUACGGGAGGCAGCAGUAGGGAAUCUUCCGCAAUGGGCGAAAGCUUGACAGAGCAACGCCGCGUGAGUGAUGAAGGUCUUCGGAUCGUAAAACUCUGUUAUUAGGGAAGAACAAAUGUGUAAGUAACUAUGCACGUCUCGACGGUACCUAAUCAGAAAGCCACGGCUAACUACGUG
rnacentral:rRNA from 1 species